rnacentral:rRNA from 1 species
UGAGGAAUAUUGGUCAAUGGGUGCAAGCCUGAACCAGCCAUCCCGCGUGAAGGACGACUGCCCUAUGGGUUGUAAACUUCUUUUGUAUCGGGAUAAACCUACCCUCGUGAGGGUAGCUGAAGGUACUAUACGAAUAAGCACCGGCUAACUCCGUGCCAGCAGCCGCGGUAAUACGGAGGGUGCAAGCGUUAUCCGGAUUUAUUGGGUUUAAAGGGUCCGUAGGCGGACUUAUAAGUCAGUGGUGAAAGCCUGUCGCUUAACGAUAGAACUGCCAUUGAUACUGUAAGUCUUGAGUAUAUUUGAGGUAGCUGGAAUAAGGAGUGUAGCGGUGAAAUGCAUAGAUAUUACUUAGAACACCAAUUGCGAAGGCAGGUUACCAAGAUAUAACUGACGCUGAGGGACGAAAGCGUGGGGAGCGAACA